UAGAUGGAUGUCAACCAGCAAGCGGCAGG
rnacentral:piRNA from 1 species